UCAGACUGAGAGCAGUGUGCCU
rnacentral:miRNA from 1 species